rnacentral:misc_RNA from 1 species
CGGCCGGUUUCGCGCCGCUCGCCAUCGGCCUUGCGCUGGUGAUGAUCCAUCUGGUCAGCAUUCCCGUCACCAACACCUCGGUGAACCCGGCGCGCAGCACCGGCCCCGCCCUGUUCGUCGGCGGCUGGGCCGUUCAGCAACUCUGGCUGUUCUGGGUCGCGCCGCUGAUCGGCGGCGUCAUCGGCGGCGUUGUCUAUCGCUGGCUGAGUGACGAGCCGGAAGGGAUCGUCGCGGGCAGGUAACGCCUGA